UAUGAGGGUUGUUUUAGAAUUUAAUAUUUUAUUGGUCUAUUUUUUCAAAUUAAAGUUUUAUUCUUGCUUAUUUAUUCACUUUUUCUUUAUAUUAUAUGCAAGUUUUGUAAUACUAAAUGUUCUUUUUGCAGUGAUUUGGUUUAAUUAUUAAGUUAUUUUGGAAUUAGUAAUUGAUGAAGUAUUGGCAUAAUUCGUGCCAGCAGCCGCGGUUAUACGAUUAAUACAAGUGAAUAUUAUUGGUUACAACAGUUGUUUGAAUUAUUAGGAUUUAAUUUUAAAGUUAUAAGGUGAAAUUUGAUUUUUUUUAUAGUCCUUUUUAUGAAUCUGUGAAACUUAAAAUAUAAACUAGGAUUAGAUACCCUAUUAUUUUAAUUGUUAAUUUUUCUUACCUGGGUAUUAAUAGUUAAGGUCUUUAAACCCAAAGAAUUUGGCGGUAUCUUAUUCCAUUCAGAGGAACCUACCCCGUAAUUGAUAAUACACGAUUAACUUUACUUAAUUUAUUUGUUUAUAUACCGCCGUUAUCAAGAAAAUCAUUUAAGAUGUGUCAUAAUUUUUAAUUAGGAAUUAUUUCACAUCAAGGUGCGAUUAUAGAUAAAAGGUGUUGGGUUACAAUACAUUUAAUUAAUGGUUUAAUUUAUGAAUUUUUUAAAUUAAGAAGCAUUUGAGAGUAAUUUGUUUAACAUUUUCCAUUUGAUAUUAGCUCUAAAGUGUGUACACAUCGCCAUCGCUCUCAUAAUUUUGUUUUGGUUUAAUUAAUUUAUGUUAGGUGAGAUAAAUCGUAACAUAGUAGAUGUACUGGAAAGUGUUUUUAGUAAGAUUU
rnacentral:ncRNA from 1 species